rnacentral:rRNA from 1 species
ACAUCGAAAGCUUGCUUUUGAUGGGCGUCGACCGGCGCACGGGUGAGUAACGCGUAUCCAACCUGCCCAUCACUUGGGGAUAACCUUGCGAAAGUAAGACUAAUACCCAAUGACAUCCAUAGAAGACAUCUGAAAUGGAUUAAAGAUUUAUCGGUGAUGGAUGGGGAUGCGUCUGAUUAGCUUGUUGGCGGGGUAACGGCCCACCAAGGCGACGAUCAGUAGGGGUUCUGAGAGGAAGGUCCCCACAUUGGAACUGAGACACGGUCCAAACUCC